AUUGAACGCUGGCGGCAUGCUUUACACAUGCAAGUCGAACGGUAACAGGGAGCUUGCUCCGCUGACGAGUGGCGAACGGGUGAGUAAUGCAUCGGAACGUACCCAGUCGUGGGGGAUAACGUAGCGAAAGUUACGCUAAUACCGCAUACGUCCUGAGGGAGAAAGCGGGGGACCGAAAGGCCUCGCGCGAUUGGAGCGGCCGAUGUCGGAUUAGCUAGUUGGUAGGGUAAAGGCCUACCAAGGCAACGAUCCGUAGCGGGUCUGAGAGGAUGAUCCGCACACUGGACUGAGACACGGUCCAGACUACCUACGGGAGGCAGCAGUGGGAAUUUGGACAAUGGGCGCAAGCCUGAUCCAGCCAUGCCGCGUGAGUGAAGAAGGCCUCGGUUGU
rnacentral:rRNA from 1 species